rnacentral:lncRNA from 1 species
UGUACACUGAAGAAAGAGUCAGAGUGUCAAAAUUUUAAACUUGAUUGUAUUCUACCUUACUCUCACUCGACUUCAAAGAAACUUGCACAAUUUAUGCAAAUUGAAAAUCAUAUUGCUGCAAGAUUCCUUGCUUUUUUGCUCAUGGGCCAGAUGACAUGUUUUUGUCUUUGAUCUGUUUCAGGACUGAUGUAUAAUGAAUGCAUUCUUUUUCUCUUGGUUGGUUUAUCAGAUGACAGUGUAUUUAGGAGUAAUGUGCCCUGCAGUGAUGUCAGAAAUUUGUAAGAGAGAGACCGUGGCUGAUACCUCUCUCUGUUCGGUGUUAACACUGUGGCUUGAAUUCAUGAAUGGAUGGAUUUGUUGCUCGAAUGCUGUCAGUCAUGGUGUGUGCUCAUUUCUAGAGAGACAAAGUUUAAUAAGGUACUGUUCUUAAUGAGAUGGAAGAGUGAGAUAAAGAAGAGGGAAUCAUUACUAAACAGAAUGGAGCUUUCAGGCAGGUGCACGGGGCCUGUGGUAGCCCUGGAGACAUUGCACCCAACUCUGGGGCACCUCCUUUUUGAGAGGGUCCUAUUGGAGCUGAUUAAGGAAGGAGCACAGGUGAGCAGGAGCAUUGUGAGUCACAGAGCGCAGCCUGAUGUGUGCAGGGGGAUAUAGACACUGGGGACACGAUGCUAGGUGGCUGGUGGCAAGAGACCUAUGAAGUGGAGUGGAUGGGACCCUUUUAUCAUGGACGGCCUUGUGUGGCUGGCAUACAAAGAAGAUUUGGUCCCAGCCCUGGAGUGAUGUGGGCAGUGUGCUGAGUAAGUAGAUGAUUCUGUAGCCUUGUUACAUGCAUAGAUGUUUAAAACAUCCGUCAUGAGGGACACUGGGACUUUGUCUCACUUUGUUGUGUUGAGAUUUUAUAAUGAAGGGUGUUAAUUAAUCAUAGUCUGUAGCAGAUGGGAAUGAGAUGCAAGUAAUAGUUCCUUCUUUAUGGAGAGUGGAGUAUUUGGGUUGCAAAAGGGGAGGGGAAGGAGGAAGGGGCAGAGUGUCACUCUCCAGGCUGGUGGUCAGGAGUGGACAUAGGUGCUCUGUGUGUGUGUGUAUGUGUGUGUGUGUGUGUGUGAAGGUUUGCAGCAGGGGGCUAGGAGACCAUGAUAAAGACUUGCAGUCAUGGAGUUCCUGUCAUGGUUGGUGAAUCCAACUAGGAACCAUGAGGUUGUGGGUUCGAUCCUUGGCCUUGCUCAGUGGGUUGAGGAUCUGGCGUUGCCGUGAGCUGUGGUGCAGGUCGCAUAUGCGGCUUGGAUCCCACGUUGCUGUGGCUGUGGUGUAGGCUGGUGCCUACAGCUCCGAUUGGAUCCCUAGCCUGGGAACCUCCAUAUGCCACGGGAGCGGCCCUAGAAAUGGCAAAAAGACAAAAAAAAAAAAAAAAAAAAAAAAAAAAAAAAAGAAUUGAAAGAUAUGGUAAACCCCCUCAAAUUUCUGGCUCCAGAACUCAUAUACUCUCCACAUGAGUUGCUGCACAUCUGCCCUGCUCGCUGGCAGCUCAAGGGUUCUGGCCCUUUUCCUCUCAGCACCGCAAGCAGCUUCUUUCAGCACAGUGGGCAGGCCCUUAAUAGUAUAGAAACUUAAUUAGAUGAAGAUGGUGUUGAGUCUCCUCUCUGGAAGCAAAAUGAUUUUGGUUAUAUGACACCCCACGUUGGUGGCAAUUUUGCUUAUAUGGUUGUGCUUAAUGUCUUAAAAAUACCCUUCAGGUCAGAAAAUAAAGUCAUAGUGGGGAGACAGGGUGCAUGGAGCUGGGAACAGUGCUGAGCGAACUCACACCUUUGUCUUUUUUUCUGCUCAGCGGUUCCUUGUUAGAUACUUACAGCUGAGAGAAAUCUGUUCUAUUUUUGACUGCUGUAAUAUUUGAAUUUUGGCAAACUGUUUUCAGGUGAAAAUGUGAGUGUUUAUAUUAUUUGUUUACGUAAAAAGGUAAUGAGGGGAACAUGUGCAAAAAAUCAUGAAAUCCAAGUUAGGUCAAGUUGUUAACUGCUGUCAAUCAGUUUCCUGCUUCUGAUAAGGCACUGUUGUUUUGUAAGAUGUCACUGAGGGAGGCUGGAUGAGGGCUACACCAGUCUCACGAUUUUUGCAAUUUCUUGUGAGUCUGUAAUUAUUUCAAAAUAAUAAGUUUUUUUUUUUUUCUUUAAUUUAAAGGUAGGCAAUUCUCAUUGUGGUUCAGCUAGUUAAGAACCCGACUAGUAUCCAUAAGGGUGCUGGUUCAAUCCCUGGCUUCACUCAGUGGCCACAAGCUUCGGUGUAGGUCACAGACGUGGCUCGGAUCUGGCAUUGCUGUGGCUGUGGCGUAGGCUGGCAGCUGCAGCUCUGAUUCACCCCCUAGCCCAGGACCUUCCAUAUGCCACAGGUGUGACCCUAAAAAGAAAAAAAUAAUAAUUUUUUAAAAAGGUAAAGAGAGAGUUCCUUGGUGGCACAGCAGGUUAAGGAUCUGGUGUUGUCACUGCUGUGGUGCAGCUUUGAUCCCUGGUCCAGGAGCUUCUCUAUGCUCUGAGUUCAGCCAAAAAAAUUUUUUCUUAAUUAAAAAAGUGAAAAUAAAAAUAGGUAAACAGGAUGUAUCAGUAAAAUUCAUAUUAAGGAAAUCAGAUAUUUUCUUUAGAUUUAAAACAGCUUGCCACAAUUAAGCCAUAGCACAAAUAACAUCAUUCAUUCAUUGACCGGAUAUCUAUGGAGUUCUUUAUGCCAGGCAUUAUCCUAGGUGUGCACUAAUGGAGAUGCGCCCUUCUGCAAGGGGUUAGCUGGAAAGAGUCUCGCCUUUGUUUCUGUGCUGUAGAGCUGGGAUUCUUAACCCAAAGUCCAUGGAUUUCAGGAGUAACAUUUGUGUAUAUAAGUGCUUUCUGUAGAAAAUAUCUCUAGUGUUUAUGAGAUUUUCAGAGGUUACAAACUGCUAUUUUGGAUGAUUACUUAUCUUGCUUGGAUUUCAAGAAGAAAUUUCAACAUAAGAGAAAAUCCUGGAGUUCCCAAUGUGGCUCAGCGGUUAACAAACCCGGCUGGUAUCCGUGAUGACAUGGGUUCAAUCCCUGGCCUUGGUUGGUGGGUUAAGGAUCUGGUGUUGCCGUGAGCUGUGGGGUAGGUCAUGCAGACACAGCUCAGAUCCUGUGUUGCUGUAGCUCUGGUGUAGUCCGACAGCUACAGCUCCGAUUCAACCCAUAGCUUGGGAACCUCCAUAUGCCGCCACUGUGGCC